rnacentral:rRNA from 1 species
UNNUCUCUAGGNUCGCAUGAUUCUUAUUGAAAGAUGGUUCUGCUAUCGCUUUUAGAUGGACCCGCGGCGUAUUAACUAGUUGGUGGGGUAACGGCCUACCAAGGUGAUGAUACCGUAGCCGAACUGAGAGGUUGAUCGGCCACAUUGGGACUGAGACACGGCCCAAACUCCUACGGGGAGGCAGCAGUAGGGAAUCUUCCACAAUGGGACGCAAGUCUGAUGGAGCAACGCCGCGUGAGUGAAGAAGGUCUUCGGAUCGUAAAACUCUGUUGUUAGAGAAGAACACGAGUGAGAGUAACUGUUCNUUCGAUGACGGUAUCUAACCAGCAAGUCACGGCUAACUACGUGCCAGCAGCCGCGGUAAUUACCAAUAA